GGUUCGGUUUUGGCACUGUUUAACCUUUAGGGUUGCUAAAACUGAAGCUAGAACACUAUCGAACCUUGAACACCUCCUCUCUAUAGCCGGAGACUUCACUCAGAGAAACUCAAGAGAAGAGGUAGAAGCAAUGGAGGGAGGAGAAGAAGCUGGAGCGGAGAUAAUGGUCGAUUCAAAGGACUUACAGCAACAAAGCAAAGCUUUAGACAAGCUUACCGAUCGCGUCGAGGAUCGCCAGCUCGAUUCUAAUCGUGUUCAAUCGGCUAUGGCUUCGAUUGCUGCUUCUAGGGAGGCUGAUCUGAAUGC